rnacentral:tRNA from 4 species
GGUCUGUUAGCGCAGUUGGUAGCGCGUUCCCUUGACAUGGGAGAGGUCACAAGUUCGAGUCUUGUACAGACCACCA